UUGGUCCGAGAGUAGUGGUGUUUACA
rnacentral:piRNA from 2 species